UCCUCUCCCGAAAUUAGGGCAGCGUUCAAGCCCCUCUCCCACUCCCAGGUGCCGACGCUGCCGCCGUUUCCCUCCCCCUCUCUCGGCCGUCGUUAACAUCAUCUCCUUCUCUCCCGCUCUCGGCCGCCGUUCAAGCCGCCGCCUCCUCUCCCGCUCCUGAUCAGUUCACUCCACCACUCCCGGCCGCUUCACUCCCCCGCUCCCGAUACUCGUUCUGACCGCUCUCUUCCCUCCCCCGUUCCCGGUACCCGUUCCGGCCGCCGCUUUCCUCUCCCGCUCACGGCCGUCGCCCCUCUCUCGUUUGGCUUUGAAGAGAAACUAGGGCAUAGAUCGGCCCUAGUUUGUGUCUCUCUCGUGUUCUCUCGUGUCGGAUUCUCUCGCUCUCUCUCUCUCUCUCUCUCUCGUGUGGCUCUAUGCUCCCGACCGCCGCUUCCCUCCCCCGCUCCCGGCCGCCGCCGCCUCUCUCGUUUGGCUUUGAAGAGAAACUAGGGCACAGAUCAUCCCUAAUUUGUGUCUCUCUCGUGCCGUGUGGAACUCUCUCUCGUGUGGCUGGUUCUCCGAAUUUCUUGAAAUCAGGUUAUUGUUAUUGUUUUGAAUGCAAUGGCUGGUUCAUAACGUGAAUUGAAGGAUGAUACAAGUGCAUCACGUGAAGAAAAGAAGGUAAUGAUUCCCUAGGUAAAGCUAAGAGCCUUUAAAAUUUUAGUCUUAGGUAUACGCUAAUUUUAUUAUUUUGAAUGCAAGGGCUGUUCAUAACCGAUAAUGCUGAAUUCUAGUUCCCAUUAAUUGUAGCAGGAGUCUUGGAAUGGCAUUUAAAUUUUUUCAAGUCUUUGUAAUGUUGAACAAUAAUGCUGAAUUCUGGUUCCUGUAUGAUACCUAUAUCUUAAAACUAUGAAUGCUUUGAUUAAUUUUGUUCUAUAAAUUGAGCCCAUUAAUUUUGAUUAAUUUUGUCAGCUCCUCCGUUUGAUUUAUUUUUUGUUGCUGUUUAUUUGUUUAUUUUUUUUAAGUUUCAAGAAAUCAAUUAAUAUCUUUAGUUUGUGCCCUGUUGAAUAUGUGCAAUAUAUUGAGUUUAAUAGCAAACUGUGGAUUGAACUUCUGCAAGUUCAUGGCUUCUUGUUUGAUGGUUUUGAAAGCCUUUUAUAAUAUAUCAAGUAUGAGACUGAUGAAAAUGCCAGAUAGUGGUAAUGAUCUCAUUGAUUCAUACUUCCUGUGCCAUUUGCUACUGGAUGGUGAUAACUUUGGGUGCAUGCAUCUUGAUGGCGUUAUUACAAUGAGAGAAUUUAUUCAUAGGCUUCCUUCUUUAUGCUUUUGAUCCCUUGGAGACCUUAUGGUUUGGAAUCAUCUCCAGGCCUCAUUAUUGAUGGCAUGAACCAUGCCGUGGGGACUGCUAGCAUUAGGUGGAAUGAAUGCAUGAUGCACAGGCCAAGCCUGUCUUGUUGUACUCUUGCAAUGACAAUGUUGUCAGCCUCUAUGAUUUGCCAUCGUAAGUAUCAUCUUAUAUUAAGCAGUCAAAACAAAUGAAAUGAUCACUGUUGUGCUUUAACUCUGGUGUCCUGUUUUUCUUCCAUUUUUCUUUGUUCACCGAGAGGGGCAAGAUUUUCUCCAAGGAUGAAGUGCGGGCAAUGCAAGUUGGCCCAGGGGGCUUAUUUUUCACUGGAGAUGGUACUGGUGAGGUGAAGGUAUGGAAAUGGUCGGCAAACGAGACACAAAGCGUGAACUAGAGACAGACCCCCCGGGUGAUCUUAUAGUCUUCAUUACACGUAUGUUAAGAGCGUCCACUAGAGGAGGUGUACACGGCCAAUUUUUGUCAAUUGCCAAAUUGAGGCUCACCACCAGAUUUGUUGUUUGCUAAACCAUCAAGAGGCCUCUCACUACAAGAAAACAUGGGCAUCAGAGACGGAAAAUUCCGUCACUAAUAGGUAAAAUUUCGUUGGUGAUAACUUUUACCAACGGAAUAUUCCGUUGGAAAUUUCCGUCGCUGAAAAGCAAGUGGCUAAUGCUAUUCCGUUGGAAAAAUUAAUUCCGUUGGUGAUAUUAAACUAUUACCAACGGAAUUUUCCGUUCCUGAAGAUGUUUAUUAGUAACGGAAAUUCUGUCCUGAAGGUGUUUAUUACCAACGGAAUUAUUCGUCACCAAAAGCAUUCAUUACCAACGAAAAUUCAGUCACUGAAAAUAUUUAUUACCAACGGAAUUUCCGUCACUAAAGGUUUUAUCACCAAUGGAAUUUACGUCACUGAAAGUGUUUAUUUCCAACGGAAUUCCGUCUAUGAUAGUCUUUAUCACCCACGGAAUUCCAUCCUUGAAUGUGUUUAUUACCAACGGAAUUUCGUUACUAAUACUUUUUAUCACCCACGAAAUUCCGUCCCUAAAAGUCUUUGUUACCAAUGAAAUUCCGUUUGUGAUAGUAUUUUUUUAUAUUUAUAUUAUUUUUUUUUGGUUCA